rnacentral:rRNA from 2 species
ACAACUCUCAACAACGGAUAUCUUGGCUCCCGCAACGAUGAAGAACGCAGCGAAAUGCGAUACGUAGUGUGAAUUGCAGAAUUCCGUGAACCAUCGAAUCUUUGAACGCACAUUGCGCCCCACGGCCUCGGCCCAGGGCAUGUCUGCCUCAGCGUCUGUUUA